AAAAUCAAUUAAAUACAUAUUAUGUAAAAGAAUUUAAAAACUAUUGAACUUAAUCACGAAUACGUAGCAAUGCUGGUAGGUUUGUGUGCAUGUUUAGUAUACAAACACAUACUGUUUUAUUAAAAGCGUGGGAUUUGUUUAUGUUUGUAAUUAAUUAAUAUCGAUUGAAUUAAAUACCGCUACACGCUCGCAUGCUUACAAAAAACAAACACAGCAUGACAUAUGUAUGUAAAUGAACAUAUACAUGUAUAUGUGUGCACAAAUUUAAAUAUAUUUAACUGUUUCCGAACUGUAAAUAACAUGUGUUUAAAUUUUGCAAAAACUACAAUAAAAAUAAAGUUGUUCACCUAAGAUGGUGAACAACGUAAAUAGUUUUUCAAUACAAAAACAAUGAAAAAGUGAAAAGAAUUAAUGAAUAACGCAAACGAUUUGCUCUUUCGAUAUGAUAUUCAUCAAAUCAAAAUAUGGACAAUCACUCUCCAAAAAGACAGAAAGAGCUGGGUAGUGGGACCGCAGGGUAGGGCAUGUGUGCCUGCCUAAUCGGUAACCUUUAUGCCUUUAUUGACUAAGCACUCACUAUUCUUAGCGCGAAACUUAUCUACUAGGGCUAUAAGGCAGCUGAAAAACUCCAAGUAGCUUUCAAUCCCGUCAGAGGAAUUUGCCGAUCACAGAGGGUUAAAAAAAUUAUUAACUUAUCUUAAUACAAUUUCUUUCGAAUUUUGUUCAAUUUUUAUAAUUAUUUUAUUGAUUUUUUAUUUUAUUGAAUUUUUAGCAAAGACGCAACCCCUAAAAGGUAAACUCUUUUACGGACUAUUUUCUACUUCGGUUUUGUAAUAAGUUUUUUUUGCUUCGAUGCUUACUUUCCUGAGCUAACCGCGAGCAAUGUUCAUCGAUUAAUUACUUCAGCCUCCAAAUCAGAAAAAUUGUAAAAAAAAAAAAAAA